rnacentral:siRNA from 1 species
UCUGAUGAUGGAGGUGAAGACAC